rnacentral:rRNA from 1 species
GAUGAACGCUGGCGGCGUGCCUAAUACAUGCGAGUCGAGCGAACGGACGAGAAGCUUGCUUCUCUGAUGUUAGCGGCGGACGGGUGAGUAACACGUGGAUAACCUACCUAUAAGACUGGGAUAACUUCGGGAAACCGGAGCUAAUACCGGAUAAUAUUUUGAACCGCAUGGUUCAAAAGUGAAAGACGGUCUUGCUGUCACUUAUAGAUGGAUCCGCGCUGCAUUAGCUAGUUGGUAAGGUAACGGCUUACCAAGGCAACGAUGCAUAGCAGACCUGAGAGGGUGAUCGGCCACACUGGAACUGAGACACGGUCCAGACUCCUACGGGAGGCAGCAGUAGGGAAUCUUCCGCAAUGGGCGAAAGCCUGACGGAGCAACGCCGCGUGAGUGAUGAAGGUCUUCGGAUCGUAAAACUCUGUUAUUAGGGAAGAACAUAUGUGUAAGUAACUGUGCACAUCUUGACGGUACCUAAUCAGAAAGCCACGGCUAACUACGUG